GGUUCGAUGGUGUAGUUGGUUAUCACGUCAGUCUAACACUAAGCUGUUAGGUCCACUGAAGGUCUCCAGUUCAAGUCUGGGUCGAAUCA